GAAAUGCGAUAAUUAAUGUGAAUUGCAGAAUUCAGUGAAUCAUCGAGUCUUUGAACGCACAUUGCGCCCCCUGGUAUUCCGGGGGGCAUGCCUGUCCGAGCGUCAUUGCUGCCCUCAAGCACGGCUUGUGUGUUGGGCUUCCGUCCCUGGCAACGGGGACGGGCCCAAAAGGCAGUGGCGGCACCAUGUCUGGUCCUCGAGCGUAUGGGGCUUUGUCACCCGCUCCCGUAGGUCCAGCUGGCAGCUAGCCUCGCAACCAAUCUAUUUAACCAGGUUGACCUCGGAUCAGGUAGGGAUACCCGCUGAACUUAAGC
rnacentral:misc_RNA from 1 species